rnacentral:rRNA from 1 species
GGGUUGUGAGGUUAAGCGACUAAGCGUACACGGUGGAUGCCCUGGCAGUCAGAGGCGAUGAAGGACGUGCUAAUCUGCGAUAAGCGUCGGUAAGGUGAUAUGAACCGUUAUAACCGGCGAUUUCCGAAUGGGGAAACCCAGUGUGAUUCGUCACACUAUCAUUAACUGAAUCCAUAGGUUAAUGAGGCGAACCGGGGGAACUGAAACAUCUAAGUACCCCGAGGAAAAGAAAUCAACCGAGAUUCCCCCAGUAGCGGCGAGCGAACGGGGAGGAGCCCAGAGCCUGAAUCAGUGUGUGUGUUAGUGGAAGCGUCUGGAAAGGCGCGCGAUACAGGGUGACAGCCCCGUACACAAAAAUGCACAUGCUGUGAGCUCGAUGAGUAGGGCGGGACACGUGGUAUCCUGUCUGAAUAUGGGGGGACCAUCCUCCAAGGCUAAAUACUCCUGACUGACCGAUAGUGAACCAGUACCGUGAGGGAAAGGCGAAAAGAACCCCGGCGAGGGGAGUGAAAAAGAACCUGAAACCGUGUACGUACAAGCAGUGGGAGCACAGAGCAAUCUGUGUGACUGCGUACCUUUUGUAUAAUGGGUCAGCGACUUAUAUUCUGUAGCAAGGUUAACCGAAUAGGGGAGCCGAAGGGAAACCGAGUCUUAACUGGGCGUUAAGUUGCAGGGUAUAGACCCGAAACCCGGUGAUCUAGCCAUGGGCAGGUUGAAGGUUGGGUAACACUAACUGGAGGACCGAACCGACUAAUGUUGAAAAAUUAGCGGAUGACUUGUGGCUGGGGGUGAAAGGCCAAUCAAACCGGGAGAUAGCUGGUUCUCCCCGAAAGCUAUUUAGGUAGCGCCUCGUGAAUUCAUCUCCGGGGGUAGAGCACUGUUUCGGCAAGGGGGUCAUCCCGACUUACCAACCCGAUGCAAACUGCGAAUACCGGAGAAUGUUAUCACGGGAGACACACGGCGGGUGCUAACGUCCGUCGUGAAGAGGGAAACAACCCAGACCGCCAGCUAAGGUCCCAAAGUCAUGGUUAAGUGGGAAACGAUGUGGGAAGGCCCAGACAGCCAGGAUGUUGGCUUAGAAGCAGCCAUCAUUUAAAGAAAGCGUAAUAGCUCACUGGUCGAGUCGGCCUGCGCGGAAGAUGUAACGGGGCUAAACCAUGCACCGAAGCUGCGGCAGCGACGCUGAUGCGUUGUUGGGUAGGGGAGCGUUCUGUAAGCCUGUGAAGGUGUGCUGUGAGGCAUGCUGGAGGUAUCAGAAGUGCGAAUGCUGACAUAAGUAACGAUAAAGCGGGUGAAAAGCCCGCUCGCCGGAAGACCAAGGGUUCCUGUCCAACGUUAAUCGGGGCAGGGUGAGUCGACCCCUAAGGCGAGGCCGAAAGGCGUAGUCGAUGGGAAACAGGUUAAUAUUCCUGUACUUGGUGUUACUGCGAAGGGGGGACGGAGAAGGCUAUGUUGGCCGGGCGACGGUUGUCCCGGUUUAAGCGUGUAGGCUGGUUUUCCAGGCAAAUCCGGAAAACUAAGGCUGAGGCGUGAUGACGAGGCACUACGGUGCUGAAGCAACAAAUGCCCUGCUUCCAGGAAAAGCCUCUAAGCAUCAGGUAACAUCAAAUCGUACCCCAAACCGACACAGGUGGUCAGGUAGAGAAUACCAAGGCGCUUGAGAGAACUCGGGUGAAGGAACUAGGCAAAAUGGUGCCGUAACUUCGGGAGAAGGCACGCUGAUAUGUAGGUGAAGUCCCUCGCGGAUGGAGCUGAAAUCAGUCGAAGAUACCAGCUGGCUGCAACUGUUUAUUAAAAACACAGCACUGUGCAAACACGAAAGUGGACGUAUACGGUGUGACGCCUGCCCGGUGCCGGAAGGUUAAUUGAUGGGGUCAGCGCAAGCGAAGCUCUUGAUCGAAGCCCCGGUAAACGGCGGCCGUAACUAUAACGGUCCUAAGGUAGCGAAAUUCCUUGUCGGGUAAGUUCCGACCUGCACGAAUGGCGUAAUGAUGGCCAGGCUGUCUCCACCCGAGACUCAGUGAAAUUGAACUCGCUGUGAAGAUGCAGUGUACCCGCGGCAAGACGGAAAGACCCCGUGAACCUUUACUAUAGCUUGACACUGAACAUUGAGCCUUGAUGUGUAGGAUAGGUGGGAGGCUUUGAAGUGUGGACGCCAGUCUGCAUGGAGCCGACCUUGAAAUACCACCCUUUAAUGUUUGAUGUUCUAACGUUGACCCGUAAUCCGGGUUGCGGACAGUGUCUGGUGGGUAGUUUGACUGGGGCGGUCUCCUCCUAAAGAGUAACGGAGGAGCACGAAGGUUGGCUAAUCCUGGUCGGACAUCAGGAGGUUAGUGCAAUGGCAUAAGCCAGCUUGACUGCGAGCGUGACGGCGCGAGCAGGUGCGAAAGCAGGUCAUAGUGAUCCGGUGGUUCUGAAUGGAAGGGCCAUCGCUCAACGGAUAAAAGGUACUCCGGGGAUAACAGGCUGAUACCGCCCAAGAGUUCAUAUCGACGGCGGUGUUUGGCACCUCGAUGUCGGCUCAUCACAUCCUGGGGCUGAAGUAGGUCCCAAGGGUAUGGCUGUUCGCCAUUUAAAGUGGUACGCGAGCUGGGUUUAGAACGUCGUGAGACAGUUCGGUCCCUAUCUGCCGUGGGCGCUGGAGAACUGAGGGGGGCUGCUCCUAGUACGAGAGGACCGGAGUGGACGCAUCACUGGUGUUCGGGUUGUCAUGCCAAUGGCACUGCCCGGUAGCUAAAUGCGGAAGAGAUAAGUGCUGAAAGCAUCUAAGCACGAAACUUGCCCCGAGAUGAGUUCUCCCUGACUCCUUGAGAGUCCUGAAGGAACGUUGAAGACGACGACGUUGAUAGGCCGGGUGUGUAAGCGCAGCGAUGCGUUGAGCUAACCGGUACUAAUGAACCGUGAGGCUUAAC